rnacentral:rRNA from 1 species
GAUGAACGCUAGCGGCAGGCUUAAUACAUGCAAGUCGAGGGGCAGCAGGUUCGUAGCAAUACGGAUGCUGGCGACCGGCAAACGGGUGCGGAACACGUACACAACCUUCCUUUGAGCGGGGAAUAGCCCAGAGAAAUUUGGGUUAAUACCCCAUAGUAUAGCGGAAAGGCAUCUUUUUGCUAUUAAAGAUUUAUCACUUAAAGAUGGGUGUGCGGCUGAUUAGGUAGUUGGCGGGGUAACGGCCCACCAAGCCGACGAUCAGUAACUGGUGUGAGAGCACGACCAGUCACACGGGCACUGAGACACGGGCCCGACUCCUACGGGAGGCAGCAGUAAGGAAUAUUGGUCAAUGGACGAAAGUCUGAACCAGCCAUGCCGCGUGGAGGAUGAAGGUCCUCUGGAUUGUAAACUUCUUUUAUAUGGGACGAAAAAAGGGAAUUCUUUCCCGUCUGACGGUACCAUAUGAAUAAGCACCGGCUAACUCCGUGCCAGCAGCCGCGGUAAGAC